UUAGACUUGUGGCUGGAGAUGUCGAAGGCAACUUUGAUCAGCUUUUCAAAAGAGUUCAAUCCAUACAAAAGAAAAGUGGAAACUUUGAUCUUCUUUUGUGUGUUGGUGAUUUCUUUGGUACUAACUUGUCAUCCUGGGAACCGUACAAGACUAAAAAACUUAAAGUUCCAAUCUCAACACUAAUCCUU
rnacentral:sRNA from 1 species